rnacentral:misc_RNA from 1 species
AAACCAAUCCAGCGUGCUGGGUCUUGGGCUUUCGCCUCUGGGCGGGCCUCAAAGUCAGUGGCGGUGCUGCCAGGCUCUAAGCGUAGUAAUUCUUCUCGCUACAGGGUCCUGGUGGAGGCUUGCCAUUAACCCCCAAUUUCAAU